AACAGGAUUAGAUACCCUGGUAGUCCACGCCGUAAACGAUGAGUGCUAAGUGUUAGAGGGUUUCCGCCCUUUAGUGCUGCAGCUAACGCAUUAAGCACUCCGCCUGGGGAGUACGGCCGCAAGGCUGAAACUCAAAGGAAUUGACGGGGGCCCGCACAAGCGGUGGGGCAUGUGGUUUAAUUCGAAGCAACACGAAGAACCUUACCAGGUCUUGACAUCCUCUGACCUCCCUGGAGACAGGGCCUUCCCCUUCGGGGGACAGAGUGACAGGUGGUGCAUGGUUGUCGUCAGCUCGUGUCGUGAGAUGUUGGGUUAAGUCCCGCAACGAGCGCAACCCUUGACCUUAGUUGCCAGCAUUGAGUUGGGCACUCUAAGGUGACUGCCGGUGACAAACCGGAGGAAGGUGGGGAUGACGUCAAAUCAUCAUGCCCCUUAUGACCUGGGCUACACACGUGCUACAAUGGAUGGUACAAAGGGCUGCGAGACCGCGAGGUUAAGCCAAUCCCAGAAAACCAUUCCCAAUUCGGAUUGCAGGCUGCAACCCGCCUGCAUGAAGCCGGAAUCGCUAGUAAUCGCGGAUCAGCAUGCCGCGGUGAAUACGUUCCCGGGCCUUGUACACACCGCCCGUCACACCACGAGAGUUUGUAACACCCGAAGUCGGUGAGGUAACCUUUACGGAGCCAGCCGCCGAAGGUGGGACAGAUGAUUGGGGUGAAGUCGUAACAAGGUAACC
rnacentral:rRNA from 1 species